GACGAACGCUGGCGGCGUGCUUAACACAUGCAAGUCGAGCGGAAAGGCCCUUCGGGGUACUCGAGCGGCGAACGGGUGAGUAACACGUGAGUAACCUGCCCCAGACUUUGGGAUAACCCUCGGAAACGGGGGCUAAUACCGGAUACGACACAGCUUCGCAUGGGGUCUGUGUGGAAAGUUUUUCGGUUUGGGAUGGGCUCGCGGCCUAUCAGCUUGUUGGUGGGGUGAUGGCCUACCAAGGCGACGACGGGUAGCCGGCCUGAGAGGGCGACCGGCCACACUGGGACUGAGACACGGCCCAGACUCCUACGGGAGGCAGCAGUGGGGAAUAUUGCACAAUGGGCGGAAGCCUGAUGCAGCGACGCCGCGUGAGGGAUGACGGCCUUCGGGUUGUAAACCUCUUUCAGCAGGGACGAAGCGUAAGUGACGUUACCUGCAGAAGAAGCGCCGGCCAACUACGUG
rnacentral:rRNA from 1 species